rnacentral:lncRNA from 1 species
UUGUAUGUGAACAUAUUAUUUGGAUUAUAUAACAAUAUAUCCAACAAUCUCCUCCUAUAUUCUUCAUACAGCACAAUCCAAUACGGUGGUUAGUGUAAUGUUCAAACAAAUAUGAAUCAUCCACAUUCGGUCCAAGACAAUCAACUCGGAUUAAAACUCAAUCAUCAAUUGCAAUCCAAAUGAGUGAAUCAUUCUUAUCAUGAAUCUGUUCUGAGAUCAGCAUACCCCAAAUAAUUCUCAAAAUCAGUUCACAACCAACAUAUGCAUAACAGUCAGAUAUAAGUAGGCCAGUCAAAAUAAUCCAAGGCCUUACAAAU